UUUGCCAAUGUCGGUGUUGACUUUCACACGUGAGGAGAAUGUUCGGUAUAAUAAUUUUGCAUUUUUGGGAGGAUGUAGUCGGGGAAACCUAAAAACAAAUAAUUGUUAUGAACAUCACAGACAAACACAUGACGAAUACAACGAUUAGCAAAAAAGCGGGAAGCGGAUGACAGAACGUUAGUAGUGCCAACAUGAAGGAAGUGGAAGAGAAGAAAACGAUAUAUAUAAUAUAGAAAUAUAGAGUUUAGAAUAAAACGAGUAUAGAUUGACAUGAAUUAUACGCAUUAAAUUAGAAGAGAUAAGACAAUAUUUAGAGUUUUAUGUUAUUUGUUUGUAAAUAUUUAAUUAGAAUAGAAGUUAGCUUAGUAUCCAUGUGGCAAAGAAGCGAGCUAAAGCAUAUAGGUCGUGGAACAUUUUCGGGUAGUACAUCGUAUAGUGAGUAGCUACAUUUUGUACAAGCAAAGAAGAUGUGGUCCAAGUUGCCCUCAUCCAACCCACAUUCACACAAUGAGUUCGCACGGACACCAAUCAUAGCCAGAAAUAACGGAGUACAUACUUUGCCUAAGCGUAAACGGCAAAUGGUGGAUAUUACCCACUUUGGAGAAGUACGGAAUCGAUAGAACCAUGGUUUUCGAGUAAUUCGAGGUUGUACACAGCCAUAAUGUUUACCAGUCUCCAAUCUAGAGAUAUCCCAUUGCCUCUGCCAUGUAUUAAACAUAUCAGAUAGUGCACAACUCAACAGCCUCAAGAAUAGCAACUGCCUCACCUGUGAAAAUGGACGCUUGAGGAGGACAUUUAAAUGGAAGGACGAUAUUGUACCGUGGAAUCCACACCGCUGCUCCCACACAUCUUGCAGGAUCCACCUUAGAAGCGUCAGUAAAAACCGUGACCUCCAGUGCCAGCGCCUGCAAGCGUGGGAGCAGCAAGUGGUUGUUGUAAGAGCUGGCUUUGAUCAAGAACCUGUCGGCGAGGUAUUGUCUGCGUAGAGCCAACGGCGGUUCAACACCUUCCACCUGCAUGCCAUUUUUGGGAGAGGGAAGCAUAGCACCUAGUAUGAUCCUUAAACAUUUAGCCUGUAUAAGAUCUAAUUUAUCUAGACCAUCCUUAUUACAGGGUUCCAUUAAAAAUGCCCCAUAGUCUAUAUGGCUACGUAUGAUGGCAUUGUAUAGUAGCUUCUGGCAAUAAGGAUGGGAACCCCACCAGACACCCGACAAUGCUCGAAGAAUAUUAAUAUUUUUCUCACAUUUACCCAGUACAUAUUUGUGGUGUGAGGUGCCAGACAUUUUAUGAUCUAAAAUAACACCUAGAAAUUUUACUGACUCUUUAUUUGGAAUCAUCACACCACCAUAACGGACAUCUGCGUCAGGCAUGGUCCUUCUGCGACUGAAAGUCACUACACAGCUUUUUGUUGGCGAUAGGGUCAAACCAUGUUCAUCAAGCCAAUCCUUGAGGUAACCCAAAGCUGUAUUAAGACUAGCAGUGGCUUUGUCCAUUGACUUUGCUGAGGUGUAUAAGACUAGGUCAUCAGCAUACUGCAAGAUAUUACAGAAGGAUAGGACAGAUUGCUCCAAGUCGUAGGUGUAGAUACUGUAAAGCAGGGGGCUGAGUACCGAUCCUUGCGGGAGACCACGCCACAAAGUUCGAGGUGGGUAAUAGGAAUUACCAUUCCUAAUUUUAAUUGACCUACCCAUGAACAAUUUGGUGACAAUAUGUACAAUCUUCGCGGGAAUGCUCAGAUGUAGCAUUUUUGCCCUGAGCACCGGAAGAAGGACAUUGUCGUAGGCCGCAGAGAUAUCUAGAAAACAUCCCAGCAGAUAUUCGUUUUUUGAAA